GGUUCUGUGGUGUAGCGGUUAUCACGUCUGCUUUACACGCAGAAAGUCAUGGGUUCGAACCCCAUCAGAACCU